GGACAUUACCGAGUUUACAACUCCCAAACCCCUGUGAACAUACCUAUACGUUGCCUCGGCGGAUCAGCCCGCGCCCUGUAAAAAGGGACGGCCCGCCCGAGGACCCUAAACUCUGUUUUUAGUGGAACUUCUGAGUAAAACAAACAAAUAAAUCAAAACUUUCAACAACGGAUCUCUUGGUUCUGGCAUCGAUGAAGAACGCAGCAAAAUGCGAUAAGUAAUGUGAAUUGCAGAAUUCAGUGAAUCAUCGAAUCUUUGAACGCACAUUGCGCCCGCCAGUAUUCUGGCGGGCAUGCCUGUUCGAGCGUCAUUUCAACCCUCAAGCUCAGCUUGGUGUUGGGACUCGCGGUAACCCGCGUUCCCCAAAUCGAUUGGCGGUCACGUCGAGCUUCCAUAGCGUAGUAAUCAUACACCUCGCUACUGGUAAUCGUCGCGGCCACGCCGUAAAACCCCAACUUCUGAAUGUUGACCUCGGAUCAGGUAGGAAUACCCGCUGAACUUAAGCAUAUCAAUAAGCGGAGGGAAAAAACCAACCAAUUCGAU
rnacentral:rRNA from 1 species